GAUGAACGCUGGCGGCGUGCUUAACACAUGCAAGUCGAACGAAGCACCUUGAUUUGAUUCUUCGGAUGAAGAUCUUGGUGACUGAGUGGCGGACGGGUGAGUAACGCGUGGGUAACCUGCCUCAUACAGGGGGAUAACAGUUAGAAAUGACUGCUAAUACCGCAUAAGACCACAGCACCGCAUGGUGCAGGGGUAAAAACUCCGGUGGUAUGAGAUGGACCCGCGUCUGAUUAGGUAGUUGGUGGGGUAACGGCCUACCAAGCCGACGAUCAGUAGCCGACCUGAGAGGGUGACCGGCCACAUUGGGACUGAGACACGGCCCAAAAUCCUACGGGAGGCAGCAGUGGGGAAUAUUGCACAAUGGGGGAAACCCUGAUGCAGCGACGCCGCGUGAGCGAUGAAGUAUUUCGGUAUGUAAAGCUCUAUCAGCAGGGAAGAAAAUGACGGUACCUGACUAAGAAGCACCGGCUAAAUACGUGCCAGCAGCCGCCGUAA
rnacentral:rRNA from 1 species